rnacentral:rRNA from 1 species
CCUACGGGAGGCAGCAGUGAGGAAUAUUGGUCAAUGGGCGCGAGCCUGAACCAGCCAAGUAGCGUGAAGGAUGACUGCCCUACGGGUUGUAAACUUCUGUUAUAAAGGAAUAAAGUGAGGCACGUGUGCCUUUUUGUAUGUACGUUAUGAAUAAGGAACGGCUAACUCCGUGCCAGCAGCCGCGGUAAUACGGAGGGUCCGAGCGUUCUCCGGAUUUAUUGGGUUUAAAGGGAGCGUAGAUGGGUUGUUAAGUCAGUUGUGAAAGUUUGCGGCUCAACCGUAAAAUUGCAAUUGAUACUGGCAGCCUUGAGUACAUUUGCGGUAGGCGGAAUUCGUGGUGUCGCUG